GACGAACGCUGGCGGCGUGCUUAACACAUGCAAGUCGAACGAAGUGGCGAACGGGUGAGUAACGCGUAAUCAACCUGCCCUUCCGAGGGGGACAACAGCUGGAAACGACUGCUAAUACCGCAUACUGAAGGAGGGGUUUGCGUCUGAUUACCUAGUGGGAGGGGUAACGGCCCACCAAGGCGAUGAUCAGUAGACGGUCUGAGAGGGAGAACGGCCACAUUGGGACUGGGGCACGGGCCAAACUCCUACGGGAGGGAGCAGUGGGGAAACUUCCGAAAUGGACGAAAGGCGGGCGGAGCAACGCCGCGUGAGGGAUGACGGCCUUCGGGUUGUAAAGCUCUGUUAAUCGGGGCGCGGUACCGGAAUAGAAAGCCACGGCUAACUACGUGCCAGCAGCCGCGGUAAUAC
rnacentral:rRNA from 1 species